UGCCAGCAGCCGCGGUAAUACGUAGGCAGCGAGCGUUGUUCGGAGUUACUGGGCGUAAAGGGUGUGUAGGCGGUUGCUUAAGUUUGGUGUGAAAUCUCCCGGCUCAACUGGGAGGGUGCGCCGAAUACUGAGCGGCUAGAGUGCGGGAGAGGAGAGUGGAAUUCCUGGUGUAGCGGUGAAAUGCGUAGAUAUCAGGAGGAACACCGGUGGUGUAGACGGCUCUCUGGACCGUAACUGACGCUGAGACACGAAAGCGUGGGUAGCAAACAGGAUUAGAUACCCUGGUAGUCCACGCCCUAAACGAUGCAUAUUUGGUGUGGGUCAUUCAGUUGAUCCGUGCCGGAGCUAACGCGUUAAAUAUGCCGCCUGGGGAGUACAGUCGCAAGGCUGAAACUUAAAGGAAUUGGCGGGGGAU
rnacentral:rRNA from 1 species